rnacentral:rRNA from 1 species
UACGUAGGGUGCGAGCGUUGUCCGGAAUUACUGGGCGUAAAGAGCUCGUAGGUGGUUUGUCGCGUUGUUCGUGAAAACUCACAGCUCAACUGUGGGCGUGCGGGCGAUACGGGCAGACUGGAGUACUGCAGGGGAGACUGGAAUUCCUGGUGUAGCGGUGGAAUGCGCAGAUAUCAGGAGGAACACCGGUGGCGAAGGCGGGUCUCUGGGCAGUAACUGACGCUGGAGGAGCGGAAAGCCAUGGGGGACGCGAACAGG